GUCCAAAUUUAUUUACAAAUCCAAAAAAACAUACAAGGUCUUCAAGAGUGUGUGAUGGACCCACACGAGCGGGUCAGGCAUGCACAGGUGUCAUUUGCAUUAGGAGAGCCGUGCACUUGCAGGAGGCCAGCACAGGCUUCCCUUUACAAGAAUCCAAUAAUGAUCCUUCCGCAGGUUCACCUACGGAAA
rnacentral:misc_RNA from 1 species